GGUGCGCUUGCUAAUACAUGCAAGUCGAGCGAAUGGAUUAAGAGCUUGCUCUUAUGAAGUUAGCGGCGGACGGGUGAGUAACACGUGGGUAACCUGCCCAUAAGACUGGGAUAACUCCGGGAAACCGGGGCUAAUACCGGAUAACAUUUUGAACCGCAUGGUUCGAAAUUGAAAGGCGGCUUCGGCUGUCACUUAUGGAUGGACCCGCGUCGCAUUAGCUAGUUGGUGAGGUAACGGCUCACCAAGGCAACGAUGCGUAGCCGACCUGAGAGGGUGAUCGGCCACACUGGGACUGAGACACGGCCCACACUCCUACGGGAGGCAGCAGUAGGGAAUCUUCCGCAAUGGACGAAAGUCUGACGGACCAACGCCGCGUGAGUGAUGAAGGCUUUCGGGUCGUAAAACUCUGUUGUUAGGGAAGAACAAGUGCUACUUGAUUAACCUGGCACCUUGAGGGUACCUAACAGGAAGGCGGCGGCAAAAUACUUGCAAGCAGCGGCGGGUAUUACCUAGGUGGCACCCGUUAUCCCGAAUUUAUUGGGCGGUAAAGCGCGGCGCCAGGUGGUUUUUUUAAGUCAGGAUGUGGAAAUUCCCGCCGGGCUUCAACCCUUGGGAGGGUUCCAUUGGAAACUGGGAAAACUUGGGUGCAGGAAGGAGGAAAAAUGGAAAUUACCCAUGUGGUACCGGUUCAAUGCGGUGGAAGAUAAUUGAGGAA
rnacentral:rRNA from 1 species